GGUUGGAUGGCCGAGUGGUCUAAGGCGCUAGAAUCAGGUGUUUACUUAUCUAGUCCGAAAGGGCGUGGGUUCGAAUCCCACUCCAAUCA